UACGGGGGGGGCAAGCGUUGUUCGGAAUCACUGGGCGUAAAGCGCACGUAGGCGGACUCUUAAGUCAGGGGUGAAAUCCUGGAGCUCAACUCCAGAACUGCCUUUGAUACUGAAGAUCUUGAGUUCGGGAGAGGUGAGUGGAACUGCGAGUGUAGAGGUGAAAUUCGUAGAUAUUCGCAAGAACACCAGUGGCGAAGGCGGCUCACUGGCCCGAUACUGACGCUGAGGCACGAAAGCCGUGGGGAGCAAACAGG
rnacentral:rRNA from 1 species